rnacentral:snoRNA from 1 species
UCUCUGUGAUGUCUCAAUGGAUCCUGCUUACCCUUCCCUGUGUGCUCGAUAGAGUAGAAGGGAAAUGAAGAAACAAACCUGUGGCUGAGAGA